rnacentral:rRNA from 1 species
GGCGAACGGGUGAGUAACACGUGGGUAACCUGCCCAUCAGAAGGGGAUAACACUUGGAAACAGGUGCUAAUACCGUAUAACACUAUUUUCCGCAUGGAAGAAAGUUGAAAGGCGCUUUUGCGUCACUGAUGGAUGGACCCGCGGUGCAUUAGCUAGUUGGUGAGGUAACGGCUCACCAAGGCAACGAUGCAUAGCCGACCUGAGAGGGUGAUCGGCCACACUGGGACUGAGACACGGCCCAGACUCCUACGGGAGGCAGCAGUAGGGAAUCUUCGGCAAUGGACGAAAGUCUGACCGAGCAACGCCGCGUGAGUGAAGAAGGUUUUCGGAUCGUAAAACUCUGUUGUUAGAGAAGAACAAGGAUGAGAGUAAAAUGUUCAUCCCUUGACGGUAUCUAACCAGAAAGCCACGGCUAACUACGUGCCAGCAGCCA